CAGUAAAAUCAACAGCUGGAUUCCAAUAGGCUUUGUCAUUUCCAUCACCGACCAGCUAUUUAAUGAUAGCAGUUUUUCAAAAAGAGACUUUUAAUUUUCUCUGCUAUUUUUUUCACCAAAACAUUUCCAUCUUCCUCUCUUCAAUAUGAAUACCUUGGUCUAUAAAUCUAUAGUUCUUGACGAACAGAUUCAGAGAUUCCUCCCACCAGUGAAUGAUCGCCUUUAAUGCUAGAAUCUCCCCUUCCUCGUUUCGUACAAGUAGGCGCGUAGCCGAUCUAGAAGAUUGACUGUCAAAGGCUGUAUCAAAAUGAACUGUGACUUUUGAUCUUCGACAAAUCUGGUGAAUGGUUCUAUCAACCUGAAAGAGACCACAACAGAAAUGUCGGAUCUGUUCGUUAGUAACUAGACGGAAGACCUAGGACAUUAUUGAAAGACAUGGCUACUAUCCUUUUCAUGUUGAAGACAGUGGGGCACUGAUCAUUCAACACAACUCUCUUGUGUCUGAGAUUAACAAAGGACGGAAUAAAGUUUCAAGAGAUUCUCCAUACUAUUAUUUUAAUUUUUGAGGGGAUGUAUAAAUUCCAUAGUUUCUUGUAGAAGUUUUUAGCUUCGGCAUGUACAAUAUAACUACUAGGAUCCAAGUUAGACUUCUAUAAUAGUUUAUAGGCACUCCUGACUAAAAAAUCCCCGAACAGUUCCCCUCACCAUACUUGAAAAUCUUUAUGCGCUGUCUCUGCCAAUGGAAUCUGCAUGAUUUUUUUCCUGCGUCCAAACAAAAGACCUUUCUCAAGGAGUCCUCUUGCUGCCCAGACACUCUUCCAGAUUUCCCCUUUCCUAAGUGAACCAAUUCCCCGAAUAACCCACAUCAACCAAAUUGCAAUCUUCAAGCACCUUAUAAAAGGCUUCCAUCCUUCUCUCCUCACGAGGAGUAUAGCCAAUAGCGUGGGAAGACAAUUGCUAAAGCUGUUAAGAAUAUUGAAGAUGUGACUGCCAUCAACAGAGAAGACACAAAAAAACCUAAAGACUUGCCAAAGAGGGCAAACAGUAACGUGCUAAGGUAGCAGACUAUUAUUUUUAAAAUAACUUCAUUCAUAAACAUUAAAGAAUUCCAUGUCAAUAUUUUUAACUAUGCCAAAAUUGUUAGUAUUUUACCAAUAAAUUCUUUUAUGUAGACUGCUGCGUAAUUAUAAAAGCUGAUUCAGAUGCAAAACAUAAGCUCUUAAAUUUUCUGAUUCCAUUCUAAGCUGCAAUCUACAAAACAUGGUAGAAACCGAUGGAAUUUUAGAAAGCUUAUUAUUUGAAUUGGAAAUUUUCAAUUCCAUCGCCUCAAAAUCAGAACCCAGUCAACAAAUAAAGCAGCCAAGGUCGAUGGUGAUGAUCCGAGACUCCUUUCCUCAAUCCGACCUCUCCAUCUUCCCUCCUAUCAACCAUGAAAAUCUCCAUUAUCAAAUUCAACAACAACAACAAAACCCAGUUUCCGAACCAUCUCUGUUACCGCCGUCUGGUGCCGGUGAUGUCAUCCAAUCAUACGGUGAUCAUGGGUUCGGAGUUUGGUUGGGGACUUUGGUUCAGAUUGUGCGUGCUAAGAUCGUUACCCUCGCCUGUUAUUUCAAUUAUGAAAACGGGACCAUUGGAAGGGCAUUUCGGUCUUUUAGGGGGAUAGCUGACGUGGCGCUCCUGGUGCUCUUAUGGUGGUUGUGCAAGCGGAUACGGCAGCGGAGGUGCGGGGAAGAGAGCAUGGAACAGUUGAAAACAAUAAUAAAAGAGAAAGACGAGGUAUGGUAUUUGUUGAAAUGCAAAAUUGUGGGAUUGUUGAACCAGAUUGCCCAAAUGAAUGCAAGUAUGGGUAGCAAGUCGUAAAUCUCAAGCUUUCAAAGGCUGACCCAGUGAUCACAUGUGGUUCAAGAUUCACCGAUUUUGAUGGCAAUCCUGGAGGUAAUUUUUAAGACCAAAACAUCAGCAUUUCUCUAUUACUAUUGAUUGCCGUGUAGUUAUAGUGUAUGGAGUCUAUUCUUUCCCCUAAUUUAUGCUUUCCACAUAUAUGAUUAGUGAGUAUUGUUUUGUUAUCGGGUUUAUGGUUAUGAUCCCAAAGCUCCUGCAUUGUUUUCUCUCACUGCAAUCUUCUUCUUCUUUUGGUUUAAAACAUACUUAACUAUAUAAAAUUUACAUUUUAAAAA